GAGGGUAUAGCUCAGUGGUAGAGUGUGUGCUCAGCAUGCAUGAAGUCCUGGAUUCAGUCCCUAGUACCUCCA
rnacentral:tRNA from 1 species